rnacentral:lncRNA from 1 species
GAUUUCUUGGUAUGGAAAAUUAAAUUUAGAGCCUUGACUUAUAGGUUAUACUCCAUGUUUUAGUGAAGAUGCUAAGUUCUAAUAGAUCUCUUCUCGGGUUAAUUCACUCAAUAUAUUCGAAAGAGGGCUAGCUUUUCACGACUACAAAAGUGUUAUAUAUAUUUUAUUCCUACGCUUAUUUUUUUGUAGUUUGUCAUAGUUUGAGAUUGAUAUAUUGUAUAUAUUAUAGUUAUUCGAAGUUGAGAAGAGGUAUUGAAAUUAUCUCAACAUGGUGUAGCAUAGUUUUUAAGUGCUAAAUUUGAUAUGUAAUACAUCCAAACACCUAGUGGUGUUAAACCUGUUGGUUAUAAAUGGAUCUUUGUACGUAAAAGGAAUGAGAAAAAUGAGGUACAAAGAUAUAAGACACGCUUUGUUGCACAAGGAUUUUUACAAAGGCCUGGCGUCGAUUAUGAAGAGACGUAUUCUCCUGUUAUGGAUGCUAUAAAUGUUAUAAGAAAUAUCAAAUUAUAAUGGAUGUCCACUCUUCCUCCAUGAUCUUCAUCUCAAAUGUUUGUUGACAUAUUUAAUGACAUAUUUUUUUAUGUUUAAUGACAUAUUCAAUGAAUUAUUUUUUUCACUUUUCAUGCCUAUAUAAAGGCCUUAUAAUAAAUAGGACAAUACACACAAUUGAAGAAGAAAUAAGAAUCUCUUCUCUCUUUCUCUAUGUAUCUCUUAGCUUAUUUUUCCUUGUUCCAUAUUGUUACUUUGAGUUAUACAUUAUAACACGUUAUCAGCACGAGACUCUACCAUCUCAAGAAGCUCUUUGAGAAGACUAAGCAAAUAUGGAUAUCUCUCAAAGCAAACUUGGAUCAAAUUUCAAUUGUAAAAAUAUUUGCUUAAUUGAUUCAUGUACGACACAUACAAUAUUCAAAAAGAAGAAAUAUUUUUCUCAUUUAAGUAUGUGUAAGGCAGAUGUUAUCAUAAUUUCUGGUAGUAGUAAUCUAAUUGAAGGCUCUGGAAGAGCCACUAUAACUCUGCCUAGUGGAAUAAUACUUAUCAUAGAGAAUGCAAUGUUCUCCUCCAAGUCUAAGAGGAACUUGUUGAGUUUUAAAUAUAUCCGUCAAAAUGGAUUUCAUAUUGAGACAAUAGAUGAGAAUAAUAUCGAAUAUCUCAUCGUUACCAAGAAUGCCUCUGGCCAGAAAAGGGUUAUUGAGAAGUUUCCAUCUUUAUCUUGUGGCCUGUAUUGGACAAGAAUUUGUANNNNNNNNNNNNNNNNNNNNNNNNNNNNNNNNNNNNNNNNNNNNNNNNNNNNNNNNNNNNNNNNNNNNNNNNNNNNNNNNNNNNNNNNNNNNNNNACAAAGGUUGGGAUUGAGUUCCCUGCGUUUUUGGAACGUAUACAAGGAGAUAUUUGUGGACCCAUUCACUCACCUAGUGAGUCGUUUAGGUAUUUUAUAGUCUUAAUAAACGCAUCCUCUAGAUAGUCUCAUGUGUGCCUAUUGUCAUCUCGCAAUCUGGCGUUUACAAAAUUAAUAGCACAAAUAAUUCGAUUAUGGGCACAGUUUCCCUAUAAUCCAAUUAAGUCUAUUCGACUUGAUAAUGCUGCUGAGUUUUCAUCCCAAGUAUUUAAUGAUUAUUGAUUAUCAAUUAGAAUAAAAGUGGAACAUCAUGUAGCUCAUGUUCACACUCAAAAUGGCCCUGCAGAGUCUUUGAUUAAACGUCUGCAAUUGAUAGGAAGACCGUUACUCAUGAAAACGAAAUUACUCACCUCUAUUUGGUCUCAUGCCAUUUUGCAUGCAACAAUGGUAAUUCGUCUCAGACCGACAAAUUAUCAUAAAUAUUUCCCGUUGUAAUUCAUUUUGGGUCAUGAACCUAAUAUAUCCCAUAUAUGAAUUUUUGGAUACGCUGUAUAUGUGCCUGUAGCACCGCCAUAUCAUACCAAGAUGGGUCCCUAAAUAAGGUUAGGGUUAUAUGUUGGGUUUGAAUCGCUCUCCAUUAUUCGCUACCUUAAAACAUUAACGGGAGAUUUUUUCACUUGUCGAUUCGAUAAGGCAUUUUCCCCCAAAAUUAGGAAGAGAAAUUGGUGAAACCAAAAGUGAAAUUUUGUGAAAAAAUACGUCAUUGUCUCAUCUUGAUCCACGUGCCUCUAUUUGUGAAAAAGAGGCGAAAAAGAUUAUCCAUUUGUAGAAAAUAGCAAAUCAAAUGCCAGAUGGAUUUACAUAUCUGAAAAGAAUAACGAAAUCACAUAUCCCUGCAGAGAAUAUUCCAAUUUGUAUUGAUGUCCCUGUUGUUGGACAAUCUUCUAAUGUUAUAGCUAAUGAGUCAAAAGCAUGCCUACAACGUGGCAGGCAUUGGGUUCUAAGGAUCGAAAUCCUAGAAAAAGGAAAAUAAAUGAUCAAGAUGACACUACGAAAGAGCCUUAUAAAGAAACCCAUGAUUUAACCAAUCCUGAAAUUCAUGAGGAUAUCGAUGAGCCUAAGACUCAAGAAAAAAAGGAGCUAUCAAUAAAUCCAAUCGAUAUUGAGACAAAUUUGAAUCGAUUGAAUAUAGUAGUGGAUUAUGUCUUUGCAUACAAUGUUGCAUCUAGCAUUAUGUAAGAAACUGAGGAUCUCGAACCUCAAUCUAUUGGAGAAUGUUUACAAAGACGUGAUUGGCCAAAAUGGCAAGAAGCAAUCCAAUCUGAGUUAGAUUUACUUGCGAAACGUAAAGUUUUUGGGCAUGUAGUCCAAACACCUAAUGGUGUUAAUCUUGUUGGCU